UGUUCGAAAGGGAAACAGCCCAGACCACCAGCUAAGGUCCCAAAAUAUAUGUUAAGUGGAAAAGGAUGUGGCGUUGCCCAGACAACUAGGAUGUUGGCUUAGAAGCAGCCAUCAUUUAAAGAGUGCGUAAUAGCUCACUAGUCGAGUGACACUGCGCCGAAAAUGUACCGGGGCUAAACAUAUUACCGAAGCUGUGGAUUGUCCUUUGGACAAUGGUAGGAGAGCGUUCUAAGGGCGUUGAAGCAUGAUCGUAAGGACAUGUGGAGCGCUUAGAAGUGAGAAUGCCGGUGUGAGUAGCGAAAGA
rnacentral:rRNA from 1 species